rnacentral:rRNA from 1 species
GACGAACGCUGGCGGCGUGCCUAAUACAUGCAAGUCGAGCGGACCAAAGGGAGCUUGCUCCUGGAGGUCAGCGGCGAACGGGUGAGUAACACGUGGGCAACCUGCCUGUAAGACUGGGAUAACAUCGAGAAAUCGGUGCUAAUACCGGAUAAUAAAAAGAACUGCAUGGUCUUUUUGAAAGAUGGUUUCGGCUAUCACUUACAGAUGGGCCCGCGGCGCAUUAGCUAGUUGGUGAGGUAACGGCUCACCAAGGCAACGAUGCGUAGCCGACCUGAGAGGGUGAUCGGCCACGACUGGGACUGAGACACGGCCCAGACUCCUACGGGAGCAGCAGUAGGGAAUCUUCCGCAAUGGACCGAAAGUCCUGACGGAGCAACGCCGCGUGAGUGAUGAAGGUUUUCGGAUCGUAAAACUCUGUCGUUA